rnacentral:rRNA from 1 species
UGAGGAAUAUUGGACAAUGGGUGAAAACCUGAUCCAGCCAUGCCGCGUGCAGGAAGACGGCCCUAUGGGUUGUAAACUGCUUUUGUAUGGGAGCAAUAAGCUCUACGCGUAGAGUGAUGAGAGUACCAUACGAAUAAGCAUCGGCUAACUCCGUGCCAGCAGCCGCGGUAAUACGUAGGGGGCGAGCGUUGUCCGGAAUGACUGGGUGUAAAGGGUGUGUAGGUGGUUUGAUAAGUUAGAAGUGUAAUACCCAGGGCUUAACUCGGGUGCUGCUUCCAAAACUGUCAGACUUGAGUGCAGGAGAGGAUAGUGGAAUUCCUAGUGUAGCGGUGGAAUGCGUAGAUAUUAGGAGGAACAUCAGUGGCGAAGGCGACUAUCUGGACUGUAACUGACACCGAGGCACGAAAGCGUGGGGAGCAAACA